CAUCACGCUAUGUUUUUUUUUUUUAAUAAAUUGUUCGGUCUUACUCUGAUAGUCUCAAGUCUCAACCAAUGAAUUAGUUAUUGACAGACACAGGGAGGGACGAAAAACUUUUUUUUUUUUUUUUUGGGAGAGGGGAGUUGUGAUUUGAGCUCUCUUUCCAUUUAAAUUAAAAGAAAUUUAACAUUUUUAUUUAUCUGCUAUUAAAGCAUGUCUUCCAACAUCUUCUUUUGCAUCAGAAAAAUAUGUCACUGCCAAUAGAGAAUUUAAUUUCCACCAUCAUCAGUGGGAAAAAGAAAUAUAUUAAAAAGGUAACCUUCCUUAAGUUCUUGGAACCCAAAG
rnacentral:misc_RNA from 1 species